rnacentral:misc_RNA from 1 species
GGGGUAUCCUCUCCUAUAUCAUCACGCUGGCCAUGAGUUUCCUUCGUUUUAUUAAAGUGCAACAUCUUCUCAAUCUCAUCCUUUGCUCUUUCAAACACUUUAGCUGCUUUGACUGUACUAUCUGAUUGAGACUCUGUUUUCUCCCCUUUGGACUCUGCUGCAACAGUUUCAUCCUUUGGGUGGAUCGUUUGAACAAGCGCCUCGAUCUCCUCUUUCAUUCUCUCAAACACGUUUGGCGCCCUGACUUCAUC